UACGAAGGGGGCUAGCGUUGCUCGGAAUCACUGGGCGUAAAGGGUGCGUAGGCGGGUCUUUAAGUCAGGGGUGAAAUCCUGGAGCUCAACUCCAGAACUGCCUUUGAUACUGAAGAUCUUGAGUUCGGGAGAGGUGAGUGGAACUGCGAGUGUAGAGGUGAAAUUCGUAGAUAUUCGCAAGAACACCAGUGGCGAAGGCGGCUCACUGGCACGAUACUGACGCUGAGGCACGAAAGCGUGGUGAGCAAACGGG
rnacentral:rRNA from 1 species